rnacentral:rRNA from 1 species
UACAGAAUGUGCAAACGUUAUUCGGAAUCACUGGGCUUAAAGAGUCCGUAGGCGGCAUGUUAGGUGAGGUGUGAAAUCCCCCGGCUUAACCGAGGAAUUGCGCUUCAAACCGGCGUGCUUGAGGAAGAUAGAGGUGGGCGGAACUGAUGGUGGAGCGGUGAAAUGCGUUGAUAUCAUCAGGAACACCGGAGGCGAAGGCGGCCCACUGGGUCUUUUCUGACGCUGAGGGACGAAAGCUAGGGGAGCGAACGGG